CCUUAGAUGUUCUGGGCCGCACGCGCGCUACACUGACAGAGCCAACGAGUAUAAACCUUAACCGAGAGGUUUGGGUAAUCUUGUUAAACUCUGUCGUGCUGGGGAUAGGGCAUUGCAAUUAUUGCCCUUCAACGAGGAAUAUCUAGUAAGCGCAAGUCAUCAGCUUGCGUUGAUUACGUCCCUGCCCUUUGUACACACCGCCCGUCGCUACUACCGAUUGAAUGGCUCAGUGAGGCCUUCGGACUGACUCCAGGAGGUCGGCAACGACCACCCAGAGCCGGAAAGUUGGUCAAACUUGGUCAUUUAGAGGAAGUAAAAGUCGUAACAAGGUUUGAAGUAUGAUCCUUCCAUGGGUGACGCUCACGAGAAGCCUUUGUGGCCCCGCAAGGGNUACCUGCCGCGACUGUAAAAAAUGGAUGUGGGUAUUAAAUCGCAAGUCAGCCUAUAGCUGGCAACACUUUCGAAUUGCGGGAACACCCUAAAGCCCACCUCUACCAACCAGCCGGGGAAAUCCGGUUGGGGCCUGUGUUAACAGCAUAGGAUAAGGUAAUAAUGAGGUGGGAUACGUCAGCUUUCAGUUGACAAUAUGGGCAAUCCGCAGCCAAGUCCCUAAGGUCCUGCUGGGCUAUGGGAAAGGUUCACAGACUAGGUGGAAGUGGGUCUGGGUCUGAGGACCUAGGCUUAAGAUAUAGUCGGGCUGUUUGCGAGAGUAAAUGGGAGUCACAAUGCUACAACUUGACUUGACCGAGCAUGGCUUGAAGGGCUAAGGUUGGGGACUGUGGAAUUCAAGUAUUCAUCAGCUAAGAAGUGUGUUGAAACUUACCACAACCUUUAACUCUUCAGGCACCUCGGUCUUCGUCCCUCUGCCUAACAACUCAAUGUCACGGCCGAAUUUUACCUCAGCGCAAUUGCGCGCUGCGGUUAAACAAAUAUUCAACGCACCUGGCUUCAAGCUUGCCAACCCUCAUCUUACCAAAGAUGAGGUGGCGAACUUGAAGCUGAGUAUAACUUGGCCAUUGGACAAGCCAGUUUACUCUCCUUAUGCUGCUACAAAGAAGGAUGGCUACUCCCAGGUGCGCUCUGCCGCCUUGGGAGGUAAUAAGUAUUACACCCACCGUGUCACGUACUGGCAAUUUUACGGUGUGGACCCUGCUGAGAAAGACGUCUCUCAUACCCUCUAUGUAGGGUCAAAAACAAGCCGAAACAUAAACCCCGUCUUCCUGGCGGCCGAGACUAAUGAUUACAAUCAGUCUCGCAAGGCUUGCUUUUUGUUUUUCGAUGAACUCCUUCGGGAGCGAGUCGAGAAAAUGGAGAACCCUUGUCUUGUAGUAUGGGAUCCACUUGGUCUGUAUUCCCCACCGCACGAUUUCGAGGCGUGGGAAAUCAGGGUACGAUCAACCAAUGGGUUAUGCCGCAGACUUCAUAAGGAUCAGUUGUGUUGUGUUUGUUGGGAUGAAUGGCUUGUGGAUUAUGAGGCAAAGAGAAAGGAGCUUGGAGAACCCCCCGAACCGGAAACGGAGGAGGAGGUGUUCCAGAGACUCUCUUCGCCCAAUUCUUCACAGGUCUGAGUCAAGUUAGUUUUUGGGUAAUUUAUUAGAAUAUAAUUCUAAAUUGUGCCUUAACCGUUCCGUAGGUGAACCUGCGGAAGGAUCAUUACCAAACGAGUGAGAAAUCGCUCUCUACCUGCUCAGUGGCCCUCGGGUCGCUGACCGGUUUAACCCUUUGUGAACCAAAAAACCUUUUCGCUUCGGCAGCUGGGCCUGACCGCCUGUCAGCCUGCCGCUAGCACCAAACCACAAACCUGUUGUCAAAACAUUGUCUGAUAACCAAAUUUUCGAAUGAAAAUUAAAACUUUCAACAACGGAUCUCUUGGUUCCCGCAUCGAUGAAGAACGCAGCGAAACGCGAUAGUUAAUGUGAAUUGCAGAAUUCAGUGAAUCAUCGAGUCUUUGAACGCACAUUGCGCCCAUUGGUAUUCCUUUGGGCAUGUCUGUUUGAGCGUCAUUACAACCCUCAGCUAACCGCUGGUUUUGAACCGGAACGGGUACCCACCCGCACCGAUUUUAAAGUUGUAAGCUCUGCUGGCUGCUCUGCCAAACCAGAACAUAGUAAAAAAACUACUUGUUGGGGUGAAGCUAAGCGGUACGGCCUGGAACAAAACCUACCCAUUUUCAAGGUUUGACCUCAGAUCAGAUAAGGAUACCCGCUGAACUUAAGCAUAUCAAUAAGCGGAGGAAAAGAAACCAACAGGGAUUGCCUCAGUAACGGCGAGUGAAGCGGCAACAGCUCAAAUUUGAAAUCUGGAGCCUUUCGGCUUCCGAGUUGUAAUUUGAAGAGGAUGUUUCGGUGCGACCUGGGCCUAAGUUCCUUGGAACAGGACGUCAUGGAGGGUGAGAAUCCCGUACAUGGCUGCAGGUUUGCUUCUAUGUGAAACUCCUUCGAAGAGUCGAGUUGUUUGGGAAUGCAGCUCAAAAUGGGUGGUAAAUUUCAUCUAAAGCUAAAUAUUGGCGGGAGACCGAUAGCGCACAAGUAGAGUGAUCGAAAGAUGAAAAGCACUUUGAAAAGAGAGUUAAACAGUACGUGAAAUUGUUGAAAGGGAAGCGCUUGCAAUCAGACUCGCCUUCAGUUGAUCAGCCUUCCUUCUGGUUGGUGCACUCUGCUGUUGGCGGGCCAGCAUCAGUUGGGGCGGUGGGACAAAGGCGGCAGGAAUGUGGCUCGCUUCGGUGAGUGUUAUAGCCUGCUGCGUCAUGCCACCAGCCCCGAUUGAGGUCCGCGGUUCGCCUAGGAUGCUGGCUUAAUGGUUGUAAGCGAC
rnacentral:rRNA from 1 species